rnacentral:rRNA from 1 species
UACGUAGGGUGCAAGCGUUGUCCGGAAUUAUUGGGCGUAAAGAGCUCGUAGGCGGUUUGUCGCGUCUGCUGUGAAAACCCGGGGCUUAACUUCGGGCUUGCGGUUGAUACGGGCGGGCUGGAGUUCGGUAGGGGAGACUGGAAUUCCUGGUGUAGUGGUGAAAUGCGUAGAUAUCCGGAGGAACACCAGUGGCGAAAGCGGCCACCUGGACUGUACCUGACGCUGACACGCGAAAGCUAGGGGAGCGAACGGG